GGCCUCCUGGUACUUACCCAUAGGCUGUGUUCUUACACUGACUAUGGAGAAAGAGGAAGUAGAGUAAACCUACCCAAUAUACACCUCAGCCCAGGCCCUGUGCCUGGUCUCUAUUGUGAAUGGAGGGACAUCG
ensembl:snoRNA